UGGAAGUCAGUGGCACAUCGGCAGGCGGCAUUCAGCAGUGGUGGACAGCGAGCAAAAGCUCAGCUCAAGCUGGAACAAACAUGGACCAGAAGAGUGUCAAUUCUGGAAGAGACAAACUUAACAAGGAGGUUAAAGACACAGGGAUUGAAAUGUCUGGCCUGAAGUGCAGGGGAUUAUUUCUUUGGCACACUUCACAGGCCCUGACUACCUGCUUGAUAGUUUUGAAAAGGCCUGGUCCAGCAAAUAAUGAUUUGGCCAUUGGAUGGGUGCUAUCAACGCCUAAAUGAAAGGUUUGGUGAAGGGUUUUAAGUAAUUUCCAUUGGUUAGCUGCAGGCAAAAGUAUUUUUCCUUCUUUGGUGGCUAGACAUCCUGAGGGGAGGGAACUAUGUCCUUGUGAGGUACCCCAUUCUAUUUCUUCUGCUGAGCACUGGGGCUUGGUUUCCUGGAGGGGAUUACCCCAUACUAGGGUUCCUUCUAUAAGCAUUUCUAAUGGAGGGUCCCGCCUUGUGGCUCUUUGGCUUCAAUAUCUGCUUGGUGGUUCCCUUCUAUUUCCCUUUCCUUUCCUUUCUGAUGACCCCAGCAGUGUAAGAUGGCCACCUCUUUAGGUUUCCGUACAGCCCAUAAUAACUCAUAAUGGCUUCCUGAUGUUUAAUAGGUAGUUACAACUUAGUGGCUGGGCGAAGUAACUAGUGACUGCUUGUCCUAGGACCCCUCGGAUAGUAACAGAUCUGGAAAUCCAGCUAGUCCUGUCUCUCAAAACUACAAUGAUAAACAAUAAGAGAAAAAGAAAGGAAGAAAGGAUAUACAUACAUAAAGAAGCCAACUAAUAAUAUGACAGGAUUAAGCUCUCACAUAUCAAUAAUAACCUUGAAUUAAAUGGAUUAAACUUUCCACUUAAAAGAAAGAGACUGGCUGAAUGGAUUUAAAAAGCAUGACCCAGCUAUAUGCUGCCUACAAGAAACACAUCUCACCAGGAAAGACAUAUAUAGUGAAAGUAAAGAAAUGAGAAAAGAUAUUCCAUGCAAAUAAAAACCAAAAGUGAGCAGCAAUACCUAUGUUUAUAAAGGAAACAGACUUUAAGUCAAAAACUGUAAAAAGAGACAAAGAAGGUCAAUACAUAAUGAUAAAAGGAUCAAUCGAGCAAAGGAUCCAUGAGGAAAUUCCUGCCUAAUAAAUUUUGGUCAGACCGGUUGUCUGCUCUCAAACCUUGUCUCCUGAUAAGAUGUUAUCAAUGACAAACUGUCAUUGCUUCAAUAUCUCCAUCUAUAAAAUGGGGAUGGCAACAAUACCUCACUAAGAGUGUAAAGACUGAGUUACUGUGUGUAAAGCACUUCACGCCUCCCCAUCGGUGCUUCACCCUGGGGCUGCAAUGAGCACCCAAUGGGAGGCUGAGGUGGGAGGAUCGCUUGAAGCCAGGAGUUAGAAACCAGCCUGGGCAACCAAACAAGACCUGGCUCUACAAAAAAGUUUUAAAAAUUUAGCCAGGCAUGGUGGCAUGUGCCUGUAGUCCCAGCUACUUGGGAGACUGAGGCAGGAGGAUGACUUGAG
rnacentral:lncRNA from 10 species